rnacentral:rRNA from 1 species
AUGGGCGCAAGCCUGAUGCAGCCAUGCCGCGUGUGUGAAGAAGGCCUUCGGGUUGUAAAGCACUUUCAGCAGUGAGGAAGGGUAAUGAGUUAAUACCUCAUUAUCUUGACGUUAGCUGCAGAAGAAGCACCGGCUAACUCCGUGCCAGCAGCCGCGGUAAUACGGAGGGUGCGAGCGUUAAUCGGAAUUACUGGGCGUAAAGCGCAUGCAGGCGGUUUGUUAAGCAAGAUGUGAAAGCCCCGGGCUCAACCUGGGAACCGCAUUUUGAACUGGCAGGCUAGAGUCUUGUAGAGGGGGGUAGAAUUUCAGGUGUAGCGGUGAAAUGCGUAGAGAUCUGAAGGAAUACCGGUGGCGAAGGCGGCCCCCUGGACAAAGACUGACGCUCAGAUGCGAAAGCGUGGGGAGCAAACAGGAUUAGAUACCCUGGUAGUCCACGCUGUAAACGAUGUCUACUUGGAGGUUGCGGUCUUGAACUGUGGCUUUCGGAGCUAACGCGUUAAGUAGACCGCCUGGGGAGUACGGUCGCAAGAUUAAAACUCAAAUGAAUUGACGGGGGCCCGCACAAGCGGUGGAGCAUGUGGUUUAAUUCGAUGCAACGCGAAGAACCUUACCUACUCUUGACAUCCAGAGAAUUCGCUAGAGAUAGCUUAGUGCCUUCGGGAGCUCUGAGACAGGUGCUGCAUGGCUGUCGUCAGCUCGUGUUGUGAAAUGUUGGGUUAAGUCCCGCAACGAGCGCA